AUUGAACGCUGGCGGCAGGCCUAACACAUGCAAGUCGAGCGGAGCGGCGGACGGGUGAGUAAUGCCUAGGAAUCUGCCUGGUAGUGGGGGAUAACGUCCGGAAACGGGCGCUAAUACCGCAUACUAUCAGAUGAGCCUAGGUCGGAUUAGCUAGGUGGUGGGGUAAAGGCCUACCAAGGCGACGAUCCGUAACUGGUCUGAGAGGAUGAUCAGUAACACUGGAACUGAGACACGGUCCAGAAUCCUACGGUAGGCAGGAGUGGGGAAUAUUGGACAAGGGGCGAAAGCCUGAUCCAGCCAUGCCGCGUGUGUGAAGAAGGUCUUCGGAUUGUAAAGCACUGUCAGCGGGGAGGCGUUACCCGCAGAAGAAGCACCGGCUAACUCCGUGCCAGCAGCCGCGGUAAUAC
rnacentral:rRNA from 1 species